GGCCCCAUCGUCUAGCGGUCUAGGACACCGGCCUCUCACGCCGGUAACACGGGUUCGAGUCCCGUUGGGGUCA
rnacentral:tRNA from 1 species